GAGAUGAGUUCUCCCUGACCCUUUAAGGGUCCUGAAGGAACGUUGAAGACGACGACGUUGAUAGGCCGGGUGUGUAAGCGCAGCGAUGCGUUGAGCUAACCGGUACUAAUGAACCGUGAGGCUUAACCUUACAACGCCGAAGGUGUUU
rnacentral:rRNA from 1 species